AUUGAACGCUGGCGGCAUGCUUUACACAUGCAAGUCGAACGGCAGCGCGGGCUUCGGCCUGGCGGCGAGUGGCGAACGGGUGAGUAAUUCAUCGGAACGUGCCCAGUCGUGGGGGAUAGCCCGGCGAAAGCCGGAUUAAUACCGCAUACGACCUGAGGUUGAAAGCGGGGGACCAAAAGUCCUCGCGCUAUUUGCGUGGCCGAUGUCGGAUUCGCUAGUUGGUGGGGUAAAGGCUUACCAAGGCGACGAUCCGUAGCUGGUCUGAGAGGACGACCAGCCACACUGGGACUGAGACACGGCCAAGACUCCUACGGGAGGCAGCAGUGGGGAAUUUUGGACAAUGGGGGCAACCCUGAUCCAGCCAUGCCGCGUGCGGGAAGAAGGCCUUCGGGUUGUAAACCGCUUUUGUUCGGGAAGAAAUCCUCUGGGCUAAUACCCCGAGGGGAUGACGGUACCGGAAGAAUAAGCACCGGCUAACUACGUG
rnacentral:rRNA from 1 species